UACGAAGGGUGCAAGCGUUACUCGGAAUUACUGGGCGUAAAGCGUGCGUAGGUGGUUUGUUAAGUCUGACGUGAAAGCCCUGGGCUCAACCUGGGAAUUGCAUUGGAUACUGGCAGGCUAGAGUGCGGUAGAGGAUGGCGGAAUUCCCGGUGUAGCAGUGAAAUGCGUAGAGAUCGGGAGGAACAUCUGUGGCGAAGGCGGCCAUCUGGACCAGCACUGACACUGAGGCACGAAAGCGUGGGGAGCAAACAGG
rnacentral:rRNA from 1 species